AUCCAGCUGACAAAUCCCAAAUAGGACGAAACGAACGUCGUGAAU
rfam:Schistosoma rodhaini strain Burundi genome assembly, scaffold: SROB_scaffold0005779